rnacentral:rRNA from 1 species
UCGAGAAUUUUUCUCAAUGGGGGCAACCCUGAAGGAGCGACGCCGCGUGGAGGAUGAAGGCUUUCGGGUUGUAAACUCCUGUCAUUUGGGAACAAGUUACGAGUAUUAACCGUGCUCGUAUUGAUAGUACCAGAAGAGGAAGGGACGGCUAACUCUGUGCCAGCAGCCGCGGUAAUACAGAGGUCCCAAGCGUUGUUCGGAUUCAUUGGGCGUAAAGGGUGCGUAGGUGGCGCCGUAAGUCGGGUGUGAAAUUUCGGAGCUUAACUCCGAAACUGCAUUCGAUACUGCGGUGCUUGAGGACUGGAGAGGAGACUGGAAUUCAUGGUGUAGCAGUGAAAUGCGUAGAGAUCAUGAGGAAGACCAGUGGCGAAGGCGGGUCUCUGGACAGUUCCUGACACUGAGGCACGAAGGCCAGGGGAGCAAACGG